CCCGCCGCCCCCGCUGUCUCUUCAGCCGACGUAGACACGUCGGGCGGGACCCCAGUCUACGCGUGUUCAAGCUCUGGGUCCCCAUAGAGCAGGGCCCCGCUGAAGAUGGUGAGCGGCUCCUCCGAGUGCGCCAGCUGCCCCAUGACCAGGUCGACGCAGACCGUGUCCCCGGCCUGCAGCGGCAGGAUGAGGCUGAAGACGCCCAGGGUGCCCGGGCUGGGCUGGCUCUCGGCCACCGGCUUAUUCUCCAGGCCCUCAGGCUCGUAGCCACCGGAGUCUACGCGGGCCACGCCCUGGUUGGAGCGGGACAGCACGGCCUCCACUUUCUCGUGCCGGUGCCCAGUCAGCACCGCGCUCAGCAAGUAGCGUCCAGCCAGUGGCGCUGUGAACACGCCUGGGGACAAGGAUAGCAGUCAGGGGGGCCAGGGAAGCUCCGGGGAGCGCACCAGAACUCCUGGACUGAGGAGGGACCCUCUGGGUCUUUUCACCUCACUGGAAUGUGAGCGGCAGGGAACUGGGGGCUUUGUUCACUAUGCAUUCCCAGCACUUAAAACAGUGCCUGGGCAGGAGCAGGCCCCAGUAAAGAUCUGCUGAAUGAAUGAAUGACUACUUCUUCUCCCCACUGCCUGAGAAUGAAUAAAUGAAGAAAGAGCCGGGGUCUCCCCAAAUCAGAGAAUGAAGAUUCACACUGUCGGAAAAGGCAAGAAUGGGAAGAUAUCACUGCACACCUCACCCAUUUCUCCAACCGUUCAACCCAGCCCCUCCCAGGACUACCUGUCUCUGGAUCAUAAUAGCCUCCAUCAUUGAGCAGGACUCUGUCGAAGGGGACCGUGCCUGGUUCAGACCGGGGCAAACUCAGAGCAGCUGAAAAUGCCACUUGGGGCACAGGGGCUGCUGGUGCCCCCUCCACUCCUGAGUGGGAAGGGUGGAUGUUAAAGGGGAUGCUCAGGGCAGAGUGCCAGCCCCCUUCCCCUGCUGGAUCCCCAGCCCAGGGCUGCCCGAGGACCUCUAUCCUCCAACCCCUAGUCACUUCUCCCUCCAGAAUCAAAUGAAAGGCACUCACCCUGUUCACCUUGAGGACCUGUGAGAAGAGGAAAGGGAGCAGUGAGAAAUAAAGCAGCUCUCACUAAGUCACUCAGCAAACAUCUGCUGAGGCUCUCCUGUUGUGCUCGGUGCUACGUGGACUUCAAAGCAGGAAUUGGGGUAUCAAGAAAAACAGGAAUAGGUAGGGUCCAUUCUGUUCAACUGCUGGGCCAUCCCAGCCUUUCACACCCCAGACAGCUAUAAUAGACUCAGCUUUAGUCUCCAGUACUGCAGUGGGG
rnacentral:lncRNA from 10 species